rnacentral:hammerhead_ribozyme from 1 species
AUCCAGCUGAUGAGUCCCGAACAGGAGGAAAUUCACGUUAUCCUGGAU